UGCUCAGCUAUGUUCUAUCAAGCUCAUAUCUAGGGUUUAAGACCCUUAAUGCAAGGAGCUCAAUCAAGAAAAGGUUUACAUUGGACCUAAGUAUCAUAUAUGGAUCCCCAUGUUCUUCACAUGAUAUUUUGAUCAAGAAAUCAUUAGGAGUUUGGAGUUUGUUUGCCUUGGAAACCCUAAUUUAUCUAGGUAUCUUAUGUGACUUCUUCAACAA
rnacentral:lncRNA from 1 species